GGGACCGCCCGCCGUGAGGGCGCGGAGCCGGCGGGGCGGCCCGAGCGCCCCGCAGAGACACGCCCGGGGAAAACUGGGAAUGAGUGGAAGAAAUGAGCAAAGAAGGUCACUUUGGUGAGCCUUUUUAUCAUGGCCCGGUGUGUUAACUGCACAGAGUUAACAACUGAGAAGCUCUAGAGUGGGACAAUCACAGGCUGCAAGUUCAUGUUGGUGACGAUAGUUACAGCUAUCCUGGGGAAGUCACGCAGUGUUGCAAAACAACGACACAGCACUGCAGGGAAGCUGAAGAUCUGUGCAGCAGCUUUAAUUUAGAUGUGGCAAAGGAUUCUGUCACCACCUGCAAUCAAGUGAUCAGCCUGUCUUUCAAAACUUGAAAUGCAGAGUGUAGAGCAACGUGAUCCAGCAGGAUCAGGACUGUGGAUUCACAGUCCUUCCUUGUAACCCUCCAGAAGCACUGUGUGUAUCCCUGAAGUGUGUGACACUGCAGUCCGUGUGUCCCUGCCAGCCUGGCACAAAGAGAAGCAGCAGCACUGCUGUUCAGCCUGGCUGCUCAGCAAAAGAAAGCUGGUGAGGGCAGUGGAUACAUGGCCUUUCUUCCAGGGCUUUUGCCUGUCCAAAUUAUUUCAAUCACUGCAGGUUAAUUUACUUUUUAGCCUCAGCUGACAAGACUGCAGUUGGUCAGUAUUGACUUUUAAGUAAAAAGUAUUAAUGCCUUCAGUCUUUUGAAUUAAAUAUUUUGAGCUGUAAGUAGCUGUUGGUGAGAAUCUACAGUUCAGCCAGUGAUUAAAUUCUGAAUUUUUUUUUCCUGCUCAGCCAUCUUUUCCAAGCUAUUUUUCAUUUGUCUGUGUUUUUUGGAGGAUAUUAUUCCAGGUAGCUCAUUUCCAGGUGGCCAGGAAGCUGGCUGCCCCAUCAACACUUAAGCUGUUAAUUAAUUGCCAGACUGUGCUGUUUGCUGGAGUUGGUACCUCAGGGAUGUGCUUUUCCCUGCAGUGCUCCUGUGUAGUGUCACCUCAUUAGCUACAGCUAUAAACAGAGCUGUGUUGUGUGACAUUCAAAACUCUGACAGAGCAGAAGACAUGGCUUUUUAGAGGGUUUUGUUAUUCUGGAUCAAUGGAAGAUGUAUUUGUGGGAGUGAUCUGUCAUGUCCUUGCAAGCAGCACAACAGGAUACACUGGUAUGAGGCACUUGGCUGGGGGAAGCAGCUCUUGUUAAACCAACUGAUGGAAAACACAUUUAGCUACACUUUAGUUCUGCCUCAAACAGCAUUUCAGAUUUGUUUCUGUUCCUGAUGUACACAGGAAAGUGUCUGGGGGAAAUAGGCUCUCACUUGGUGGGCUUUGGUGACUGGGAGCAGCUGGGGUUGGAACUGAAACUGAGCUUUGAACAUUCUGCUAAAGUAGCUGGUGCUUCCUGUGCUGCUGUUGUCACCUGUUAAUGCAGUCUCACGGAAUAGCUCUGUUCUUUCUGAAAGUAAUGAAAGGAGCAGAUUUCCUGCUUUUCUAGAAUCCCAACAAACAAGAUAAAAUUUAACUUACAAAUAUUUAGGCAUCACUUGGGGUGGGUUUUGGGGGUGUGUGUUUGUGUUUGGAAUGCAUCCGUUUUUUGGUGAAUUCACUAUAAUUGGGCCUACUCUUAAUCUGGUGAAAUUGGAAUCCUAAUGACUGAUUUUGGAUAUGCAGACAGUAUGUGUACCAAAUUAUAUCUAAUUUUAUGGAGCAAUAAAGCACACCA
rnacentral:lncRNA from 1 species